CUCCAAACCUCCCUGGGCAGCCCCUGCCAAGGCCUGAGCACCCUUUCCAUGAAAAAAUUCCUGCUGAUGUCCAACGUGACCCUCCCCUGGUGCAUCCUGAGGCCAU